rnacentral:rRNA from 1 species
GACGAACGCUGGCGGCGUGCUUAACACAUGCAAGUCGAACGGAAAGGCCCUGCUUUUGUGGGGUGCUCGAGUGGCGAACGGGUGAGUAACACGUGAGUAACCUGCCCUUGACUUUGGGAUAACUUCAGGAAACUGGGGCUAAUACCGGAUAGGAGCUCCUGCUGCAUGGUGGGGGUUGGAAAGUUUCGGCGGUUGGGGAUGGACUCGCGGCUUAUCAGCUUGUUGGUGGGGUAGUGGCUUACCAAGGCUUUGACGGGUAGCCGGCCUGAGAGGGUGACCGGCCACAUUGGGACUGAGAUACGGCCCAGACUCCUACGGGAGGCAGCAGUGGGGAAUACUGCACAAUGGGCGGAAGCCUGAUGCAGCAACGCCGCGUGCGGGAUGACGGCCUUCGGGUUGUAAACCGCUUUCGCCUGUGACGAAGCGUGAGUGACGGUAAUGGGUAAAGAAGCACCGGCUAACUACGUG